AUUGAACGCUGGCGGCAGGCCUAACACAUGCAAGUCGAACGAAGUCUUCGGACUUAGUGGCGGACGGGUGAGUGACACGUGGGAACGUACCUUUUGGUUCGGAGCAACUCAGGGAAACUUGAGCUAAUACCGGAUGAGCCCUUAGGGGGAAAGAUUUAUCGCCGAAAGAGCGGCCCGCGUUAGAUUAGCUAGUUGGUGAGGUAAAGGCUCACCAAGGCUACGAUCUAUAGCUGGUCUGAGAGGAUGAUCAGCCACACUGGGACUGAGACACGGCCCAGACUCCUACGGGAGGCAGCAGUGGGGAAUCUUGCGCAAUGGGCGAAAGCCUGACGCAGCCAUGCCGCGUGAAUGAUGAAGGUCUUAGGAUUGUAAAAUUCUUUUACCAGGGACGAUAAUGACGGUACCUGGAGAAAAAGCCCCGGCUAACUUCGUGCCAGCCGCCGCCGUAAAAC
rnacentral:rRNA from 1 species